CCUAUUUUCUUUGGUUCUUCUUUCUCUUUCAUGGCUUCGGACUAUAGCGAGGCCAGGGGCAAACUAGUCGGGGUGGCUGAGGUCCUCGGUCAUCUCCUCCCUGUGUAUAGGUAAGAUCUUACAUUGGUGGCCCAUGCUAGUCCAAACUUGCGACUGUGAUGCACCUCCUACCCAUAUACAAACUUUUCCUUGACUGAGGGGCUGUGAUAAUAAUAAAGACAGAGGACACCAUUAGUCCC
rnacentral:lncRNA from 1 species